CAAAAACCCAAAAGAGACGAGAGUCGCCCAGAAAACGUUUUUAAGGGCUCUUGUCCUGUUCUGGUUGAUUGGUUGUAACCGUCAGUCCGUCGCUCUAUAAAAGCAGAGCCUCUCUUUUCCUUGGUCUCUCACUUGAAUGAAUACAUUUCUUUUCUUUUGGAAACAUGUGUGGUGGUGCUAUUAUCUCUGAUUUCGUUGCCGUGAAACGCAGCCGGCGAAUGGCUGCCGUGGAUCUCUGGUCGGAGCUUGACCCCUUCUCUGACUUUCUUAGCUUGGACUACCCUAAUAAUGCCAAUAAA
rnacentral:misc_RNA from 1 species